UUUACUUAAACCAUAGGGGCAAUAAUGAAAAUCACAGCCUGGGUCUACUAGCAUGGAUGCUGAAAGCCAGAUUGCAGAGACCCUUAAGCAUGCACCAGGCCUGGUUAGGAAAAAGGCUCAUCGAUCAAUUACCCCACAUAUACAAGAUGGUUCAAUGGACCUCUUCUCAUAAUUUUAAACCUGUGCCUUCCGCGCAUUCUCUCUCCCCGGACUGCCUGCCUGGUUUUGACUCGUGCCUGCUGAAUGGUUUCUGCGCUUGAUUUUUCCCCUUGGAUUUGUUUAUUUAUCGGACAGUUGAUGUCUACCUGACCUUCUCGUCUGCGCUUGCCUGUCCGUCGUGUUCUCCAGCCCGCCUCAUCGGACGGCCGAUAAUCUGUCUCAGCUUCUUUUAUUUUGUUUGGAAACGUUUUCAAAUGCCCUUUUUAUGCUUUUUUUUCUUUUGUAGUCUAUUAUA